rnacentral:rRNA from 1 species
GACGUAGGGGGCCAGCGUUGUUCGGAAUUACUGGGUGUAAAGGGUUCGUAGGCGGUGUGGCAAGUCGGGAGUGAAAUUUCUGGGCUCAACUCAGAGACUGCUUCCGAAACUGCUGAGCUUGAGUGUGGGAGAGGCGCGUGGAAUUGCAGGUGUAGCGGUGAAAUGCGUAGAUAUCUGCAGGAACACCCGUGGCGAAAGCGGCGCGCUGGACCACUACUGACGCUGAGGAACGAAGGCCAGGGGAGCAAACGGG